rnacentral:rRNA from 1 species
UACGUAGGGCGCAAGCGUUGUCCGGAAUUAUUGGGCGUAAAGAGCUCGUAGGCGGCUCGUUGCGUCGGCUGUGAAAACCCGCAGCUCAACUGUGGGCUUGCAGCUGAUACGGGCAGGCUAGAGUUCGGUAGGGGAGACUGGAAUUCCUGGUGUAGCGGUGAAAUGCGCAGAUAUCAGGAGGAACACCGGUGGCGAAGGCGGUCUCUGGGCCGAUACUGACGCUGAGGAGCGAAAGCGUGGGGAGCGAACAGG